rnacentral:sRNA from 1 species
AAAUAUAGAAAAAAAUCAUGAUAUAGUUUCAGAUAAGGCGAUAAGGGCCACAAUUUAGUGAAUUUUCCUUGGGCCUCUAAUAUGUUGGAUCUGCUCUGUGUAUAUAUGUAAAAUGUAAGUUCGUUCUUGGGACAAUCACAAGCUCUUAACAACACAUAAGCAAAGAAAAACAAAAAAUAGAAGAAA